CGGAGGAUCCAAGCGUUAUCCGGAAUCAUUGGGUUUAAAGGGUCCGUAGGCGGUUUGAUAAGUCAGUGGUGAAAGCCCAUCGCUCAACGAUGGAACGGCCAUUGAUACUGUCAGACUUGAAUUACUGGGAAGUAACUAGAAUAUGUAGUGUAGCGGUGAAAUGCUUAGAUAUUACAUGGAAUACCAAUUGCGAAGGCAGGUUACUACCAGUGGAUUGACGCUGAUGGACGAAAGCGUGGGGAGCGAACAGGAUUAGAUACCCUGGUAGUCCACGCCGUAAACGAUGGAUACUAGCUGUUGGGCGCAAGUUCAGUGGCUAAGCGAAAGUGAUAAGUAUCCCGACCUGGGGAGUACGUUCGCAAGAAUG
rnacentral:rRNA from 1 species